AGUGAACGCUGGCGGUAGGCCUAACACAUGCAAGUCGAACGGCAGCACAGUAAGAGCUUGCUCUUACGGGUGGCGAGUGGUGGACGGGUGAGGAAUACAUCGGAAUCUACUUUUUCGUGGGGGAUAACGUAGGGAAACUUACGCUAAUACCGCAUACGACCUACGGGUGAAAGCAUGGGAUCUUCGGACCUUGCGCGAUUGAAUGAGCCGAUGUCGGAUUAGCUAGUUGGCGGGGUAAAGGCCCACCAAGGCGACGAUCCGUAGCUGGUCUGAGAGGAUGAUCAGCCACACUGGAACUGAGACACGGUCCAGACUCCUACGGGAGGCAGCAGUGGGGAAUAUUGGACAAUGGGCGCAAGCCUGAUCCAGCCAUACCGCGUGGGUGAAGAAGGCCUUCGGGUUGUAAAGCCCUUUUGUUGGGAAAGAAAAGCAGCAGGUUAAUACCCCGCUGUUCUGACGGUACCCAAAGAAUAAGCACCGGCUAACUUCGUG
rnacentral:rRNA from 1 species